rnacentral:rRNA from 1 species
ACGGAGGGUGCAAGCGUUAUCCGGAAUUACUGGGUGUAAAGGGAGUGUAGGCUGACAUUUGAGUCAGUGGUAAAAUCCCCAAGCUUAACGUGGGAUCUGCCUUUGAUACGGUAGGUCUUGAGUAUGAGAGAGGAUGAUGGAAUUCCUGGUGUAGCGGUGAAAUGCGUAGAUAUCAGGAGGAACCCCGGUGGCGAAGGCAGUCAUCUAAGCCAUAACUGACGCUGAAGCGCGAAAGCGUGGGGAUCAAACAG